GGUUGUAUGGAUGAGACUGAAGUACACAGAGACCCAAGAGUCAGCCAGACAUCCCCCAACCCUCUCAGUGCCUAUCUGGAGCAAUUGAGUUUCGGCCAGAAACCCUAUACCCUACCAAACUUCCCCUGAUAAGCACUGGGUCACUGCUGAUCUAGGACCUCUCUGGCCCUCCAAUCUGCCUGCCUUGCGCUGAAGCACUGAGGUGCCUCCCUACUUCCCCAGGAAGGCUCUGAUAACAGUCUGCGGUAGACAGCCUGUGGAAUUGUGAAAGACGCCUCCCCAAGACCAAAGCGCUGACUGCUUCUUCAGGCAGGGGCACCCAGCCUGCCGGAAGAGUCUCCACGAGCGAUUCUGCCAGGAUUCCCUCAACCCGCCAGUCCCCAUCAACAGGGAAAGAAGCACUGUAGCUACCAGGGUACCGGAAGGGACGGGAAGAAGGAAAUGCUUUCAGGAUUUCCUUAGUUGAACCGUGUGAGGAUCUGAAGCCUCUGAUGAGGGGAAGGAGAGACUCCAUUACAUUCCUGGCCCUCCCCAGAGCAGCAGGAGGAAAAGCCUAGAGCCACAUCAUCUGAUCUUUGUCCUCUAGGGCCUCCACUCGGGGCCUCUUGCUAUGGUCAAGCCUACUUGCUGGUUGCUCAUCCUAAGGGCCACUGAC
rnacentral:lncRNA from 1 species